rnacentral:rRNA from 1 species
UCCGGAGGAGGCAAGCGUUAUCCGGAAUUAUUGGGCGUAAAGCGUCCGUAGGUGGGUGGCCAAGUCUGCUGUCAAAGGGUGGGGCUUAACCUCAUAAAGGCAGUGGAAACUGGCGAGCUAGAGUGCGGUAGGGGUAGGGGGAAGUCCCAGUGUAGCGGUGAAAUGCGUAGAGAUUGGGAAGAACAUCGGUGGCGAAAGCGCCCUGCUGGGCCUGCACUGACACUGAGGGACGAAAGCUAGGGGAGCGAAAGGG